rnacentral:tRNA from 1 species
ACUUAAGUAGUUUAAAUAAAAUAAAAUCAUGAUUUGUGGUAUCAUAGAUAUAAGUUAUUAUCUUAGGUU